CCCUACGACCCAAUCGAGCUCUCCCAGCUGCUCCGCUCCCCGCCCUACCCCAACACGGUACUGGGCAUUUUAUUUCUUCUCUUCCUUGUGCCUGCAGUGAGGACGGAUCUUGAGUUGGAUCAGGAGCGCUUCAAAGAAGCUGUGAAAUCAAGGCAUCGUCGGCUUCCUUAUGAGUCAAUGCUAUACAUGCUUCUCCAAGGGGAAUGAUUUGGAGUGGAGAGGGAGUACAAUGUCAUGGUCCAAGUCUGGAAGAAUUAUUCAACUUCUGCAACAGAAUGUUCUCUCUUAAACAGUACUUAUGCUAGCACAUCAGAUGAUAGCCCGGGUAGAGUACAUGCAACACAAGGGGGUUUCUUUACCGUGAUAUCGAGCCAGACAACUUCCUGCCGGGCAUAGGCUUGGGUGUUACUCAUAAGUAUUUACUGAUAAAACUGGUUUGGUGGUGACUGUAUCCCAAAUAGCACACAAGAGAGGGUAAAUUGUAGCAUAACACCCAUAGACUGUAUCUCUGCAUACUUGCUAUCGUAUUGGCCAUUUUUUGCUUCAGCUCAUUAUCACCAAAGAAGCACAGAUUCCUUUACCUUUUAAUACAAGAUACAAAUUCCUUUACCUUUUUAUACAAGAUGCCCUGCGAUGGACAAGUUGUUUCACUUGAUGUAAGCAUUUGAAUUUCUGUAGAUUGAAUAUGUGCCACACCAGUUCAUAUAUACGGAGUAUAUGUUUUUUAUUAUAAACAAAUGUUUGUAUGAUUUUCUUAUGACAAAUCCUUGUGUAUAACAGUUGAAAGAUCUUGUAAUACAAGCCUACCACUGUAACAUGAGAAAGAAUCCCUAUAGUUUUUAUUUCUAAACUUGUAUAAGUUUUUGUGCAUAUUUUGUAACAAAAUUUCAGGAGUAAUUGUUUCACAAAAAUAAUAAAUAUUUAUAAAAACUGAUAUAGGCUAUAUUAUUAUGAUUAUGAUAAGGCGCGCAAGCGUAGCCGGGUUUCUUAAAGGGAGCUGGCUCCUCCUCGCACGAGAGCGCUCGGCGCCUCCCGCGAUGCCAGGUGUCCUCUGCCAACUUUGCAAAAUCAACCCGCGGUACCACCUGUAGCCUUGAUACCCUCCCUCAUUCUUCUCUCCUUUCCCUUCUCUCCUCGCCGCCGCCGCAGUGGCCGCAUCUCGGUGCUCCCCGCGUGCCUCCUGGCUCGCCGCCUCCACUCCCCCGUCUUCCCCGACGCCGACGACCCGGCCUCCUCCGACGACCUUGUCCUCCCCUUCAUCUCAAGGAUGCUCAUGGAGGAGGACAUCGACGACAAGUUCUACCAGUUCCCCGACCACCCAGCGCUCCUCAACGCCCAGCAGCCCUACGCCCAGAUCCUCCUCUCCGAUGAAUCCGCGACCAACUCCAACUCCAACUCCAGCUUCCGGCGGGACCGCUGCCAACUCCACCCUCAUCCGACGCCCCCGCAUCCGCCGAACCCGCCUGGCCCUACGACCCAAUCGAGCUCUCCCAGCUGCUCCGCUCCCCGCCCUACCCCAACACGGUACUGGGCAUUUUAUUUCUUCUCUUCCUUGUGCCUGCUGUGAGAACGGAUCUUGAGUUGGAUCAGGAGCGCUUCAAAGCUGCAACCACGCCAAGCAUUGGAUUUGCAUCUUCUUCUUUACCUCAAUCUCUCCAUCUGUUUCGUUAAGAUGCAACCACAGCAAUCUUUCCUCUUUCUUUUUCCUGCAUCUCUUUUACUGGUUAUGAUAGAGGUGGCUUCCAAGUAAUGUGUUGUUGAGGAAAAAUAGCUGCAGCUCUCUAGCUGUGCUUUCCUGCAACAAUUCCUUUUGAUUAGUGUUCCCAGCUCAAGUUCCUAGAAUCAUAUUCCAUUAUCUCUCUAAGCCCACCAUUCCCUAAUUUGAAAAAAGGGUAUUAGUUUGAUGUUGCCACUUCUGCGUAUUGUGAGCCCAAUAAUUGUUAUUGGUAGAUUGUCGUUAUUGUGACUACUCAAUCAGCCAUUAUAGUUUAUGGCCAUAUUCUCCACAGAGAAAAUUGACUUGCAAGCUAAUUUUUGUUUCCAUUCUUUGUUGUUCUGAUUCUGAUAUACCGUGAUCAUGGUUGUAACAUAUACGAAGAUCCAUUUUAGCUUUGCAUAUAAUGAACGAAUUAAGCAUGGUACCAUUCCAAUAAGGCCAAUAACAGCCACUUCUGACUCUUACUUGCUAGAUGUUCUGAAGAUUUGAAGAAUACAAUAGGGAAGAUAUUGGGUGUGGCUGGAGUAACUCUUUCAAACCCAAGGCUUAUGCUUCCUGCUGUGAUUUUUGGACUGUCAGAUCACUUUCAAAACAACAUUUCCAUUUCUGAGGUUUACUGUGGCUCUUGGUGGGGGCUUGAUGCAUGUUCUUAUGGGUAGCCUGAUCCAUACCACCUGGACCUGUGCUUUAACAUAAUGGCAUGAAGCCAGGCACAUAUUUGCAUUGCCUUCUCAGCUGGCAAACUUAUGUGGGGGGAAUUUUGUGAUUCUUCUUAACAAGUCAAUAUGAUGCCUAGGUGAACAAAUUGCAAUAUGCAAACAAGUUGUAUUUCAUUUGUUUUCCAAGUUCAUGCUUAAAGAACUUAUGUGAAGGCCAGUUCAAGCCACCAGAAACUUAAAGCCAGAUAUCUGCGGCUUUCAUUUGUUUGCAACAUGGAGGUUCCUACACAACAUGAAUUUGACUGUGAAUAGUAUUUGCAGUUUUCAGGGCAUCGAAAUUGAAGAUAGAAUUUGCUCCUCUUGUGCGUAUUUCAAAACAUCGGACCGUAUCGUCUUGCUUUGAUUGUGGAUAAAAAAGGAGCUAAAUGUUCCUGUCACACUCACACAAUGCGGAUGGAAGGGGUGUUUGCUUAGCUGAACUUUGUAAGGUUGCUUGGUGAAGAUUUUGUUAGGUUUAUUGGAUUUAGACCACACUACAGAUGCUGAAUUUCUGUUCAUUGUUUGAAAUGUACAUUGAACUGUGCAACAAGAAGAAUUUAAGCACUCCUCAUUGCUGAAACAAGCAUAUUCUAUUAGCGUGGACAUGUUUAUUUAA